AGGGAUGUCUGGCGAAAGCCAUGUGGAGCAAGGGCGUUGUAUUUAAUGUCAGUAUUAAAUAGGGUAGUUGUCUUACACUUGAGAACCAAUUUAAUUUUAAAGCAGUACUACCUAGCAGCAACAACCUUUGUGUGGUUGGCGUCAACGUGGACAUUUAUUUCACCUGCUAGCGGAAAAGUUCAGUUCGACCAUAACGACUGCUUCGUGUGAGCGGAGGUCACGACCAGCCGAAACUCCCUGGUUUUCAACACGACCUGGAACCUGCAAACGAAUACGGAGUACUGUUGUGAGGAGUCCAAACUUCAGACGUCUCAGCCUUGGGAUCAUCUACAUGACCUGCCUUGCAAGUGGAACAGAGAACUCAACUGACUGGUUUUGAUGAACUAAUGACGGAGGAAAUGGAUUCUGGUGUGAGUGUGAGUGGCUGUGGGAGGCAAUGCAACAUGAAGGUCAUUUGCAGCUUCUCAAAUCCAGCCUGGGCUUUAGACUGAAGGCAAGCCAGUGGUACAGUGCUUGCCAAAAGCCGAUGUUGCAUGUCCCAACAGGAGAACGCUACAUGAGAAGGAAAGUAAGUAAUGUGGCGUGCAGGAGGUUAAGAUGAAGUGCAGUUCUUCAUAAUUUCAUGAGGAGAAAAGGGAGACAAAAGACAAGUUGCUCGGUCAUGGCUGCCCCUCAAGGCCUUGUGAAGACGGCCAGACAACAAAGACUGGGAAUGUUUUUUGUGUGUGUGUGUGUUUAUUUCUUCACACAGAUGAGUGAAUGAGGUCAUGACGAAACACUUCGGCGCCUCGCCCAAAGGAGACAGUGGCGCAGACCCUAGUCAUGGAUUCACCUCCAAGCCGUGUGAAGACACUGGGACAGGCAGGAGUUGAAUCGAUGCCGUUGACGAGACAUGGUCCCUCUGAGAAGCUACACACAGUCCCCCAGUCCUGUCUUUGAUACUGUAGCACUCUGGUUUGUAAAUGUGUUAGGCAGAUCCACCCCCAGCCCGGUUAUUUAGCGGUCAUCACAAAUUACACUAUGCUCCCUCAUCAGUUAGAAAUGACAAAGAAAAUUCAAACAAGUUUUGUAUUAUUAUAAUUGUAUUACAAUUUGUAACCAAAUUGUAUUUGGUUAAGUCAUUGCAUUUUGUCCAAUGAACACUAUUGUAUAUUUUACAUUGGUAUUUUUUUGUGAGUUCAUUUACUGAAACAUUUGUUUUUCUUGUAUGAAUGUAUUGUUAUUCUUGUU